rnacentral:rRNA from 1 species
GGGGGAUAGCCCUGGGAAACUGGGAUUAAUACCGCAUAUUAUUCUGAUUAAUAAAGGAUUGGAAUGAAAGUUCAGGCGGUCAGAGAUGGGUGUGCGUCUGAUUAGCUAGUUGGUGGGGUAACGGCCUACCAAGGCGAUGAUCAGUAGGGGGCGUGAGAGCGUGGUCCCCCACACGGGUACUGAGACACGGACCCGACUCCUACGGGAGGCAGCAGUAAGGAAUAUUGGUCAAUGGGCGAAAGCCUGAACCAGCCAUCCAGCGUGCAGGAAGAAGGCCCUAUGGGUUGUAAACUGCUUUUAUCAGGGAAGAAACCUCUGGAUUCACUCCGGAGCUGACGGUACCUGAAGAAUAAGCACCGGCUAACUCCGUGCCAGCAGCCGCGGUAAUACGGAGGGUGCGAGCGUUAUCCGGAAUUACUGGGUUUAA